UUGACUUUCCCCUUAGGGGAACCCCCUUCGUCGUCUAUCCCCUUUGUUCCCCUAAAGGGGAUGAAGACAAGGAAGCCAAGGUUAAGCCUAGUAUAGGAAUGUAAUUAGCCGUAAGGCGCUCUUUCAUCCCCUCCGGGUUUUCUAACCCCGAAGGGGGAACCCUUUGGGUUUGUCCCCGAAGGGGAAGAAGUUUGACACCCUUCGGUUAUCCCCUUUGGGUUUCAUCCCCUAAAGGGGAACAAAGGGGUUCCCCUAAAGGGGAAGGAAACCGAAGGGGUAUGGCUUCGCCCCUAACGUAGUAUAGUAUAGUUCCCCUUGGGAUUGUUCAGCCAACAUAAAACUACAUUGUAGUUUAGGCUCCGCCGUAACUACGUUGUAGUUUUAUAACUAAACACAGGUCUUCGACUUUCGUUAGUUGUUAAACUACGUCCAAGGGAACCAACCCUAUAAGAAAACGUGGCCGGAUGCAGCAACCGCUUAAAUCGAACUUCUAAUGCACCUAGGAUAGUUUUAGUAUGUAGUAUGGUGAGAAACCAUCCUAGGCGACGCACUUCGCCCUUUACUCACAACGAAAACACAAGUCUUGUGGAACAUACGCUGCUAGCAGCGUAUGUUGCAGUUUAUUAAACUACAACUACUGUUGUAGUUUCAGCUAGAGUCCUUAAACUGUUACUGUUUCGAGAAGGGAACUUUGUUGAAGCCUUCUAUGUGCCCUUUAUUUUUCUCACAGUUGGUUCUCCCCUUUGGUUCCCCUAAAGGGGACGAACACAAGUCACAACUUUGUUGUGUUUUAACACGGGGUUCGGCCUCGUUCGUUGUAAGGGCCGGAUGCAUACNGCCCUAUGGGCAUUCCGCAUAAACGAGUUGUNNN
rnacentral:lncRNA from 1 species